UACGUAGGGUGCAAGCGUUAAUCGGAAUUACUGGGCGUAAAGCGUGCGCAGGCGGUUGUGCAAGACAGAUGUGAAAUCCCCGGGCUUAACCUGGGAACUGCAUUUGUGACUGCACGGCUAGAGUGUGUCAGAGGGGGGUAGAAUUCCACGUGUAGCAGUGAAAUGCGUAGAUAUGCGGAGGAACACCGAUGGCGAAGGCAAUCCCCUGGACCUGUACUGACGCUCAUGCACGAAAGCGUGGGGAGCAAACAGG
rnacentral:rRNA from 1 species